rnacentral:rRNA from 1 species
UACGUAGGGCGCAAGCGUUGUCCGGAAUUAUUGGGCGUAAAGAGCUCGUAGGCGGCUUGUCACGUCGGGUGUGAAAGCCCGGGGCUUAACCCCGGGUCUGCAUUCGAUACGGGCAGGCUAGAGUGUGGUAGGGGAGACUGGAAUUCCUGGUGUAGCGGUGAAAUGCGUAGAUAUCUGGAGGAAUACCGGUGGCGAAGGCGGCAUCCUGGACCGGCAUUGACGCUGAUGAGCGAAAGCUAGGGGAGCAAACGGG